rnacentral:rRNA from 1 species
GAGCAACGAGCGCAACCCUGAUCUAGCCAUGCCGCGUGAUCGAUGAAGGCCUUAGGGUUGUAAAGAUCUUUCAGUGGGGAAGAUAAUGACGGUACCCACAGAAGAAGCCCCGGCUAACUCCGUGCCAGCAGCCGCGGUAAUACGGAGGGGGCUAGCGUUGUUCGGAAUUACUGGGCGUAAAGCGCACGUAGGCGGAUCGGAAAGUUGGGGGUGAAAUCCCGGGGCUCAACCCCGGAACUGCCUUCAAAACUCCCGGUCUUGAGUUCGAGAGAGGUGAGUGGAAUUCCGAGUGUAGAGGUGAAAUUCGUAGAUAUUCGGAGGAACACCAGUGGCGAAGGCGGCUCACUGGCUCGAUACUGACGCUGAGGUGCGAAAGUGUGGGGAG